rnacentral:rRNA from 1 species
GAGGAAAAGAAACCAACAGGGAUUGCCUCAGUAACGGCGAGUGAAGCGGCAAAAGCUCAAAUUUGAAACCCUCGGGAUUGUAAUUUGAAGAUUUGGCAUUGGAGAAAGCUAACCCAAGUUGCUUGGAAUAGUACGUCAUAGAGGGUGACAACCCCGUCUGGCUAACCGUUCUCCAUGUAUUGCCUUAUCAAAGAGUCGAGUUGUUUGGGAAUGCAGCUCAAAGUGGGUGGUAAACUCCAUCUAAAGCUAAAUACUGGUGAGAGACCGAUAGCGAACAAGUACUGUGAAGGAAAGGUGAAAAGAACUUUGAAAAGAGAGUGAAAUAGUAUGUGAAAUUGUUGAUAGGGAAGGAAAUGAGUGGAGAGUGGCCGAGGUUUCAGCCGCCCCUCGUGGGCGGUGUACUGCCGACGCCGAGUCAUCGAUAGCGAGACGAGGGUUACAAAUGGGAGCGCCUUCGGGCGUUCUCCCCUAACCCUCCACACUGCCACCGACGACAUAAUCCACCCAUUUCACCCGUCUUGAAACACGGACC